GUUAAAAAGCUCGUAGUUGGAUUUCUGGCGGUGUGACUCCGGCCGGCAUGACGUCGGGUCCAGAGCGCGCCACCAUCCUUCUGUCAACCUUCGCGGGAUUCGCUUCCCGCGAUGUGGGCUCAGAUAUUUUACCUUGAGAAAAUUAGAGUGUUUCAGGCAGGCUUUCGCCGGAAUACAUUAGCAUGGAAUAAUAGAAAAGGACUUCAACCUCUUCUGUUGGUCUGAGGGGCUGUAGUAAUGAUUAAUAGGGAUAGUUGGGGGCAUUAGUACUUGACUGUCAGAGGUGAAAUUCUCCGAUUUGUUAAAGACUAACUUAUGCGAAAGCAUUUGCCAAGGAUGUUUUCAUUAAUCAAGAACGAAAGUUAGGGGAUCAAAGACGAUCAGAUACCGUCCUAGUCUUAACCAUAAACUAUGCCGACUCGGGAUCGGAGGCGCGCAAAAUCGGUCUUCGGCACCGUAUGAGAAAUCCAAAGUCUUUGGGUUCUGGGGGGAGUAUGGUCCAAGGCUGAAACUUAAAGGGAAUUGACGGAAGGGC
rnacentral:rRNA from 1 species